UGGAGUUUGCGUUGAGUUUGAUGUUUAGUUACAGAGUGAAGUUCAGAACAGGUUAGAGUUCACAGCAGAAUGAAGCAGCAGUGUGUUCGAGACGUGGAAGCUGCAAGGCGGAUAAUGCAGCAGAACAUACAGAGGAUUUCCCAGAGGCCGGCCUUAGCCUACAUACUGUGCUAUAUGCAUGCAAGUUAAAGAGCUGCACACACACACACACACUCACACACACACACACACACACUUGUAUGCACUGUAUGGGAUGGCCUUUAAUGUGCAUAUGUGCAGUUGUAUGUUUCUUUCUUCCAGACAUCUUGCAAGUGCUGUAUGUAUGUCAUUAAUUGAGUCUCCAGCUCCCUGGAGUGGUUAGCUCGACUUGCACAGGGAGGAUAGAGGGGGAGAUGUUUUGUGUGUGUGUGUGUGUGUGUGUGUGUGUUUGAGUGUGAGCCCUCUACACACACACAUGGAUUCCCUGAUCGCCUGAUGAUUAUGCUUGAUCAGUGUCAAACACAAACUACUGCAGCGGGUGCUUUGAAAAGGAAUAUAUUGUGUACUCAGGCUUUUUCACACACACCCUUAGUGCUGUUUUUUUUCACAGAGCGCAGUGAUUUAUCCGAUUCACCCAGAUCUGAGGAACAUAAUCUUUUCAAGCAGCACGGUCUGUACAUCCAUCCUAAUUUUCAGAAACAAGAAAGAAAGAAAAAAUCAAAGACAAAAAAACAGCGUCUUGUUUUGCACGGAGAGAGACGAUCAAAUCAAAUUUGCAGAAGGUUUAAGGCAACAAUAAAACACGUACAAUCACAGCGCAUUCACCACCUGGGAAACAUUAGCUGAUAAGAGCAGACAGGGAGUCGAUACCUCGUUAUGAAGCAAUAAAACCUCAAUCAUCAGCGUAAAAUUUAAAGAACUAGAAAGUACAGCAGUAAGUUCAUUUCUGCUCCUCUUGUAAAUGAAGCCGUAAACAAACACUUAGUUCUUUUAUUCUCAGAUUUAUCACCUCAGCCGCUCGCUGGAACUACAGUCAAACCGACCUAUCAGAGGCAGAGGUGAUCUCAGGUGUGCAAAAUUAAAAAUGUGAGCGAGUGAUGAGGUUUCAUCCUGUCCUGAUCUGUUAAAGCUGCAGCUCAGACUCUGAUCGUUGGAGCUCUUCUUCUGCACCUCCACAGAUAAAGUUCAGUGUUGUUUGUUUUCCAGGCGUGUUCAGGCCCAAUCAGGGAGUGUUUCUCGUAGCGGGGUUUCGGCGCUGAGUCGAAGGCGAUGGGGGUAAAUAUUUGUAUCUCAGCGGUGGACUCUCAGCGCUGAGGUCAGUCGUCUGGAAUCCCCUGGUUGUUUGGAGACCACUGUUGUUACAGUUGGGCUCUUUUGGGUAUAAAAGGAGGUAUGAGAGACGCGGAGAGAGCCGGACUCCCCGAGGGAGGAAACUGAGCGCUAACAGUCAAACAGAAGAGGAGGAGGAGGAGGAGUGUGAAGUUUGGGGAGAGAGCUUCAGCUUCGAACACUGACAAACACUUUUACCAAAAACCACAAACAAAUAAAGUCAGAGAGAGUCCAUCCUGUCACAUCCUUCUUUACAUCCAUCUAAUAACAUCUCAAGAUCUCGUCUUCACCUGCAGAGAAGUGAGUGUCUGUGACUGAAGCAUGAACUUGGGAUCAUGUCUGCAGGAAACCCCUCCUCUCCCGGACACUUUGAUGAAAGUGAAUCAGAGACUUCUUCUUCUUCUUCUUCUUCUUCUUCUUCUUCUUCUUCUUCUUCUGCCUCGUAGCGAUAGAGAAGUGAGCAACAUUAGCGGGGGUGUCAUGUUUGAUUGGGGUUUAUGAGCGCCGCCUGUAUUGUUCCUGUUCGUCAACAGACUCUCAGGUAAUGUGGUGAUAAUCGCUGCGGAAGCCUCCAUCUGCUCGUUCGGGGGGAGUAGAGGGGUGGGGUGUGGAGCUGCCCUCGUUUCAAAUCCAUUUUCCCAGGUGCUGAUGGGAGGCCGCGGGGUGGUGAGGGGGAGGAGAGGUGGGGGGGUUAGUGUAGAGCGCUGUUUCAUUUACCCAGGAGUGUCGGCGCACUCAGCUACCAGGUUGUCUCUGCUUGUACCGGCUAAUGGUUCAACCCCAGCUGGCUUCGAUUGGGAGCGGGGCUCCUGAGGAAUACAUUUUGCACUUUGGCUCGCGACCAAGUGUUCGGCAUUUUGGUUUUGCACGCUACACUGACUUUAUCGCUCAGGUGUUUGGAACGAGCGCCGUAAAAUCCAUAAACAACCCGGUCGUUGCGGCUCCAGGUUGUCAUUCGAGGCGGCCGGGGUCAAGGCGCGGCGUAUCGAAGGGGCCGUUCCGGAGCCAGGCGGCGGUGAGGGGGCCGUCUCCGCCUUGACUGUUUGUGAGAGGCAAUUCUCCACGCUUGUAAUGACACGUCUUUAAUUGAUAACGCGGAAAAACUGCAUUGAUUUGGUGUCAGGCGAAGGAGCGGGGCCGCCCGGCCUCUAAUUACUUCUCAGUUCUGCAAUGUCAGGUUCGGUUUCUGCUGUUGUGUCUGCAGCAGGAUGCAGCUGAUGUGAUCACACCUGAGCAGUUCGCUCCUCCGUCUGAGGAGGAGAUCAGUCUGAGGAAGACGCAUGAAGAGAUGUUUACGACAUGAUGAAAUCUAGAUCAGAUCACAUCUAUGUUGAAAAAUGUAAAGAGAGGAGUCAGAGAUCCAGUCUGACGUCAGAUCAGGCAGAAUAAAUUUUCACUCAGACACAGAAAACUUUGACUUUUCCGUGUUGGUAUUUGAAACCCAAAAGCAGCAGCAGCAGCUUCACCCCCGAGGAAGGUUACAGUUAAAGAAUCCAAACACUCAUAUUUUUAGUCUUUUUGAGACUUUCUGACCCGAAACCGUCAGAUUUGAGCUUAUUUUUAGCGUCAGGGUCCAGACAGGAGGGCUGUAAAAAGGAGUAAAGCAAACAGAGCAGCAGAAAAAAGGAACAGGAAGAGGACCAGACCUCACGCUCCCUCCUGCCUGUCAGCCUUUUAGUCCAGCUAUCACCGUAAAUUUCCUCUCGGGCUAAAUCAAGGCGGGGGGGGGGCUGAGGGCCUGUUACCCCCACUGUGCAUAAUACCGCUAAUUUUUGGACGUGUAUGAGAGCGCUGUCGCCGAGGUGAUGACAGAGCGGGACCAACUGGCCUCAUGUGAGACUUCCUGAGCAGUUUUAAAGCUUUUUAAGGUGGAGGAGGAGAAACGGCGUUCAGGGGGGGGAGUGACGGCCUCCUAACGGCCUGGGAAAGGAGGUUUCAAACUCCUCCUGAACGUUUCAAACUUUCUCCUUUUGUGGUUGAACUCGUGUCAGACUGUUGAUGUCCGAGCGCCGCACAAACACGGCUGCUUAAACACGCUUAAAAGAGCUUUUAAUGAGCUUUUAACUGCAUUACCUGAUCUUACCGGAGUGUGUGUCUGUGUGUGAAUUCAUGAAUGAAUGAAUAUAGGAGCUGCCUCUGUGUGUGUGUGUGUGCAUGAAAGGAGAGAGUAAAAAGUGAGUCAUUGUGCGUCUCAGUGUGUGUGUGUGUGGGUUGUGAAAAGUGUGUGUGUGUCACGCUCUCUGUUUUUUUUUUCUCUGUGUGUGUGAAAGACAAACACACAAAACACUCAGACAAGUUUUCACCAACUUUGUGUUGUUAUUGUGCGGAAGAAGAGUGUGUGCACGUGUGUUUGUGUAAAUCGGUGUGUGCACGAUAAAACAAAAGGAUGUAAAGUGUGUGUUUGUGCAAACAGGAGUGUGUGUCUGUGAGGUGAGACAACAUUUUCAGCCUGUGUGUGGGGAAAGGAGAGGGGAUGUGUGUGUGUCCAAGUGUGUGUAUAAGUGUGUGUGUGUGUGUGUGUGUGUGUGAUGUCCCGGCCUGUAGAUGGAGCUGCUCUUCUCUCUCUCUCUCUCUCUCUCUCUCUCUCUCUCUCUCUCUCUCAUCCUCCAUCUGCACACAAUGAAUGCAUUGUUUUUCUCCCCCCACACCGCCCCCUCUGACACACACACACACACACACACACACACACACACACACACACACACACACACACACACAGACAGACACACACAUCUCUCCACUCUAACAGAUUUGGUAUUUAUGUUAAUGCACACCUCUGUGGAUCUCUUCCCUCCCAGUGGUUAGAUACCCUGUUGAUACGUGGCUUUGCAUGAGUGUGUGUAGAUGUGUGUGUGUAUGUGUGUGUGUGUGUGCGUGUGUGUUGUGGGUGGAUAUGAGCUCGAGGGGGAAGCCGGAGGGGAGUGUGGAGGGUUUAAGGGAGUCAGAGGAUGAUUCCUGGGACUUUUUUUUGUUGCAGAAAAAGAAAAAAAAGGAUGAAAAUAAACGCGGAUGUUUGAACGUGUGACGCUGUGUGUGUGUGUGUGUGUGUGUGUGUGUGUGUGUGUGUGUGUGUGUGUGUGUGUGCUGCAGGAAGAUUCAUGAAAAUGAACGUAAUGAGGCUGCACAACAGUUAGGAAGUGUCUGAUGAUGUGAGGAGACAAACUCACAAACUCACAACCACAGACUGAACAUACCUGUGGAGGUCAGAUCUGACGUCUUCAUUAAAACAAUCAAAUCAUCGUUUCUAAGAUAUAAAACAAACCCUGAGAGUUUUUUAAAGGUUCCUCAGCUAAAUGAAUGAGACUCCUCUCUCUAGUCUGUUUUAUUCUCCUUUUUUAAAUGACCUUAAAGUGAUAUUUUCAUAUUUUAGGAUAAUAUCACGGCGGCUCUCAGGGAAUUAAAAGAAGCAGUGUGCCUUACAGAGAUGGUAAUUCCGGGCACUCAAACGGUGUGUGAAAUAGAGCUCCACUCAGGUCAUUGUUGAUCCCCACCUCUAAUAGAAUAAUCAAUCUUGCUUUUGGCAAGUCUGCAGGAUUAAUUAUUAAGGGCUAAACAUUUACCAGCUAAGCACAGCCCCGCCCGCGCCGUGCGCGUCUACCUGCAGCCUCCAUCCUCCGCUGCACGGAGAAACCGCUCAACCCGGCGUGAAUUGAUUAUCUCCACGCUUAUCUGCUGACAACAAGCGGCCCCCCUCCGCCCGUGUGCAGCCCUCCACCUUUAAAACAAUAGUAUCUUUCCAGUUUGUCAGUCACAGAUUUAUUUCAUGUACAACACUCACACAAGGAGGAUUAACGGUAUCUACUUAUACGCUUGUGAUAAACUCUUAUCUCCUGCCUUCCCCGGAGCACUCUGUGGGUGCACGUUGACCUGUUUUCCUCUUCUUCUUCUCCUCUUUACCUCAGCGAUUUAAUCAUUUAACCAUGUAUAAUCUGUCCUCUUUUCCAAUUUGUUAAAUCCUCCUGCAGCGGGAGCGUUUCUCCUGCAGCAGUUCUGUUUUUUUUUUUAAAGACUUCCAGGAAGUUUAUAGAUGUGAAAAGGUGAGAGGGAGGUGAGGCAGGAGUGGGUGAAUUUUGGAGAUAUUAUUUUGAAAGGACAAACACAGGGAGGAUAAACUGCAGCCUAAUUAGGAGCCGGUUUAUACACGUGUCAGAGCGCAGAGGUUUGACCAUUUAGCAGGUACAGUCUGAAGAUGACAGGAGGUUAAGCAAAGGAUAUAAACACGGCUGUAUGUGUGUUUACAUCUGCUCCCACUGUAAAUCUGUGUGUGUGUGUGUGUGUGUGUGUGUGUGUGUGUGUGUUGGUGGUUUACAUCCAGCAGGUAAACUUUAAGCAGCUGCAGCAUCCUGUGGAGGUUUACACAGCAUAAACGCAUCACUUCCUGCUCAUUUAGCGUGAUGUAAACGGACCAUAUACCCACCAGGACACCAGCCGUCAUCCUGUAGAAGCAGGACCAGUGACGGUACCUUUGACCCCGCGCUCUCUGGGUGGCACGGUUCGCCGCGAUGACAGUUUGUAUCCGUUAAUGUAAAGUGUUCACAUCCUGCCCGCCUCCUAAAAGCCCGUUUCUCCCUCCUCACCUGGGUGAAAUAUUGUGAAGUCUCUCUAAAUAUUCGGAGCGUUUGCUUACUGCCUGAUUGGAGUGGGUGGUUCUGCUGUUCCAGGAGAACAGCACUGUCAUGUAGAGUUACAGGCCAUUUGCUUCUGUUUACGUCUCAUUUACAUCUUCUGCUGUUUUUGCCACGCUCGCUGUUUGUAAUUAGGUUUCCUUAACGUACACACGUUUGCUCCUUUAUGCAAAAAAUACAACCGGGAAAAACCUGGAAACCAUGGAUAACUGUCUGUCACAUCAUAGGAGCUUCUUUAAGCAGAAACAGAGUUAAAGGUGGUGUAGUCAGGAUCUGAGGAAGUUCCAGCAAGACCUCAAGACCUCAAAUCCUGCAGGAACAUUAAAUACUCUGAUUCUUUCCACAGAAGCUGAGUCUGUUUUUCGUUUACAAAACAGCAUCGUCGGCAUACAUUUGUAGAUCCAUCCCAUGGUGCAGCUGUAGGAGAUUGUUAACGUGAAGACUAAUUAAUAACGGGCUGAGGAUCGAGCCUUGGGGAACACCUUAUUCACACACUGUGAAUCUAAAAUAGAUCUUAAUCAGCAGAAUGAUUCGGCCCAAA